UCCCUAACAUACGCUGUUGCAUGACAUUUAAGAGGGAAACAUGUAUUUUUCUGUGAACGUCCAGAAGUGUCUUUGUGUAUAUUACUGUAAAUGAAUGACAGGAAUAGGCAAAAGAGGUCGUGCCUUCGAUUUGCAAAAUUUCCACAGGGACUUGAAUGUGUGGCAGUGCAGCUUAGACAGGUUACUAGGAUACGCAUGAAUGAGUUUUCUGAUCAGUCUAAACAAAUCUUUCUGAAUGUAACUAUCAUAGCUGCAUAUGCGAUACACAGUAAUAUGAUGGGCGUUGCUGCUGACCACGUGUUGUUCCGUAAAGAUCUGUUCCCAUACUGCAUAUUGUCUGAACACCUUGUUGACUCACUGCCUUCUCCCAUUUAAAUCCACCUAAUUUUUUGAGACUCAAUUUUCAUUUAAUUUAUCUUGAGUCACGCGAUCGCUGUGACUCAUUCCACCCCCCCUUUGUGUACUUUUUAAUUCCUCUGAGCUCAAGUUGCUGACUCACCCAUCGCAACCGAACAUCCGUUCUCACGUGCUUCUUUCUUCCUAUUUUGCCGCUUCAGCAUAUCCUGCCGUUGUUACUUGGUUUUGACUGAAGCCAGUGCGGGGAAGAGCUGGUAUUUAGAAGAGAUCAAUGAGAGGAAAACAAAGAUACUGGAUGAUCUUGCAGUAAACAAUCCCAUCUGUCUGAUUUCUUUACUCAUAUUUGAAUUUAGACAACACAUUCUGCAUUGAUUACGUAUCUGGUCCUUUCUCCUUUAUAGUGAAUUCAGAGGUCUUCAUUUCGCUAUUCAAUAUUUGAUUAAGUUUGCCUCAAAUGGCCAGGCAAUGCACCUUUAUCAAACCUUGAAUACUAGACAAAGUAUAUGUACUGUGAAGUGUACUUGACUGCUGUUAGGUGUGUCGAGCCUUCAUUAGAUCAGAAAGAGGAACCACCUAGUAUUUAGGCAGUUGAAUCAGUUUACUCUUAAUCAAUUGUUAGCUGUGCUUUUACACGUAACGGUGUAUUUUGGAUGUACUUUAACUAGUACUUCUGAGUGUAAAGGAUUUCUGUCAUCAUGGCGUUGCAGGUUUGAGGUGUGCAUUUGUUCGUGUGCCUUUAACAGACUGACACAGCAGGAAACCUAUCCAGAUCGGUGUUGUCAUAGUAACUGGGUUACAGGCUCAGACAGAUCCUGUCCCAGUGAAUGCUUUUUGGGGUCUGAAUGGUUGGGUGGGCGACUGAGAUGGAUUGCAGAAAAUGCUGCAACAAGAUGAUGCCUCUCACACAUUUAUAUUAGGCCAGGUCCGGAUCUUUGGCAGCCAUCCUGAGUACAGUUGGGGUAACUGUAGUGGGAGCAAUUGUUGGAUACUACACCUACCAGAAGAAGAAACUGUGCUUCAAAAAUAGACAAGAAGCGGAUCCAGAAGUUGCACGUAAAGCCGAUACCACAGAGGCUCAGUCGGAUCCCCAGGUCCUUAGUAACCUGCUGAAAUCCUCCUAGACCGGCAAUGAGCACAAGACUGCCUGGCCCCACUACUGGCAAGCAUAAUGGCAAAUCUCACUGUUAAGCUCUAUCUUCUUAGAGGAGCUAAAUUACUGUGAGGCCCCGGAGUUGGGCUCUGUGUAUGUGUGUGUGGGUGUGGUUGUGUGUCUCGGUAUGUUUGAUUUUCUAUGUUUGCGUGUUUGUGUGAGCCAAAGUGUCUGUAUACGCGAGUGUGAGGAUUAGUUCUCGUGUGUGUGUGUGUGUGUACACACGUGGGGUAUGUGAACUUUUAGGGUUUAAUCAUACAACAUAACAAUUUAUCAAAAUCGUUGGACAAACUUCUACUUGUGUGGUCAUUAAAGAUUCAAUGCCAAUCAAACAUAAAAUGGCAUAAAUUAAAGAACUACCUUUUUUCUAUUUCCAUUUUUACCGCUACUAUCCAGUUCUAGUAAAUCCGUGUGAAUGUAAACCAGUGACAGUUAUUGGUGUUGUUGAUAAUCAUCAAUGUUAAAGCCACACCUAUGAUUUUGAAAGUCCACUGACAACCACUUAAUUAAAAAAAAGAAUAAUCUGUUAGCAGAGCCAAAUGCAAGAUGGAUGGAAAUCGGGGCGCUUCAAUAACUAACGCUGUGUAUAUGGUGCCGAGGGGAAAUAGUACAGGAUGAAUUGUAGGAAAAGCUACAUGGUCCAAAGUAUGUUCCUUAGACCAGUGAUGUCACUGAGUGUGAUUGUGUGUCUAUUCUUUGGGUGGCGAAGGGACUUUUUAGAUUUAAGUCCUGUCAGGUGACGACCACUUCUCUUUAGUCAGUUCAAUAAAUCACAGUAAAAUAGUGAAAUUUCCAACUAACAAAAGUGAAAUCCUUACGAAAAUCAAAACUCUGUUUAUUCAUUGCAAAUUGAUCAAAAAAUCAAACACAUUUGACAAUGCUAUAUGAACAAGUGGAGUAGAGUCUAGUACAACCUUGUUUCUGUCAAUGGAUGAAUGUUCACUUGAUAUAUCGGCAAAUUCAACAGCAGUCGUGUUGUAUUGUAUUAGACAAUGUUCUGAUGUAUUAUGUGGCAGUCUAGUUGUGAUGCAGUAAUUUAUCCUCUCUAGUGCCUUUCACUGAGCCUGGCUUGACCAAUUGACUGACACACAGGGACGAGAGCUCGGACAACACAAGUUAAAACAUUUGUCGAAUGUAUUAAAAUAUUUAGAGGCCAUUGAGGAAUGUAAGAUCUUGAUUAAUUAUUUUAGGUGGUUGAAAAGCCUCUCUGUGGACAUCUACGUGAAACUUACAUUAUUCCUAUAGCUGCGGUUAAUGGGCUAUUUACUGUUGUACUUCAAGUGCAUUUUUUUUCAAACAAUAUCACAUACAAACUCUUUAAACAGCCUCACAUUUCAGCCAUGACAAUAAUCCUCUCUGUGUGUCUGCUUUGAUCAAGCCAGAGGCUGUCAGUGUUUUUUUUUUUAAUUGUCCUUAAAUCAACCUCCAUUCACUUGUGAUUUUAUAUGCAUUUUACUUCUGGCAGUGGUUGAUUAUUGUGAAAUGCCUCAGAAGCAGCGCUAGUGCUUUAAUAAAAAAAAAAAGGCCAACAGUUACUUUUUUGCUGUAGCACUAAAAAAAACAUUAACUUCUGAAUGUCUUUUUGUUGCCUUGCAGUUUUGUACUUGCUCUGCUCCCUUUACAUUUCCAAAUAGGGUUGCACAGUGCUGCAGCUCAUGUAAAGUGUUUUACUCGUUAAGCACUAUAUAACUGCAAUACAGGACAGAGACUGUUUCUAACAGCCUAGCCUCAAACCGAAAAUGAUUAAUUGUCUGUGAUGUCACUAUUGAUUAAUCCUACUGUGCAGACUGUGGGCUGGACUCUGGCUGAAAGCUCUGAAUGAAAUGCCUUCUUUAACCUUUGAUAGAGCUACACUUUUUAACUAAAAAGAGGAAAGUGUGUCUUAAAUCUCUCACUGCAUCUCCUACAACGGCAUGGAGUGAUGAAGCACAAAAUACCCACUAAAUAACAGUAAACGCUUUCAGAUGUUGCCUUCAAAACACGACAUCCUCCUUUCCGUUUAGUACCGUUUGUGCUCUAAUAAGUGCACAUGGAAUCAAUAAAGCAGUGUGCUGCGGGUCACAUUCAGAGACCUUAAAGGAGACUGAAGCAACAAUACAGCCCAUAAAAUGGCACAAGGAAUGCUUGUGUUUUGAGCAUUAUGGUCCAGUCUACAUUUAGUCCCAAGCUGUCACAUUCCUUGUAAACACAAAACCAGAAUGUAAAACCUAGAAAAUUGUAAACUUAUUGGGUCCCAAAGUGCACUUCCAAAAAGAUGCUAGGGCCUCACCGUGGCACUGACCAGUCCUGCCUUACAACAUCCCAGAGAGGAAAGCAGAGAAGAUACGUCAUCAUGAAAGCUUAAACAAUGAAACAAGCAGAGGUGUUUUGCAGGUGAUUUUAAUAACAAUUUCUAUGGGAGAAGCACUUUCCUAUCCUGUAUACGUCUUGAUUUAUUAAACAUGUUAGACAAUUCCUAUUUGAUUUAGCUAAGUGACUCUUGCUUUUUUAUUUAAAGUGUUUUAAGUUUCCGUUAUGAACUGUUUUUUUUUUUCUUUUCUUUUUCAUCCGGCACUUGUGUUGUUCAUCUGGAAUUGUGUAAAUAAUGUUUUAGGAGUCAAUAAACAGUUUUCGUGGGAA